rnacentral:rRNA from 1 species
ACUCAAAUGAAUUGACGGGGACCCGCACAACCGGUGGAGCGUGUGGUUCAAUUUGAGACGAAGCAAAAAACCUUACCAGGGUUUGACAUCUUACCGUUUUAUACCUUUGGAAACUUUGGUAGAUCCGUAAGGAUGGUAGGACAGGUGCUGCAUGGCUGUCGUCAGCUCGUGCCGUGAGGUGUUCCCUUAAGUGGGGAAACGAGCGCAACCCCCGCCUAAUGUUAAAUUGUCAUUAGGGACAGCCCCGAUUAUCUCGGGGAGGAAGGAGGGGUAGAUGUCAAGUCAGCACGGCCCUUAUACCCUGGGUCACACACACCCUACAAUGGCGAAAAACAACGUGCUGCAAGCUAGCAAUAGCAAGCUAAUCACUGAAAUUUCGCCUCAGUUCAGAUUGGGGUCUGCAACCCGACCCCAUGAAGUCGGAAUCGGUAGUAAUCGCGGAUCAGCAGGCCGCGGUGAAUACGUUCUCGGGUCUUGCACACACCGCCCGU